rnacentral:rRNA from 1 species
UACGUAGGGCGCAAGCGUUGUCCGGAAUUAUUGGGCGUAAAGAGCUCGUAGGCGGCUUGUCACGUCGAUUGUGAAAGCCCGAGGCUUAACCUCGGGUCUGCAGUCGAUACGGGCUAGCUAGAGUGUGGUAGGGGAGAUCGGAAUUCCUGGUGUAGCGGUGAAAUGCGCAGAUAUCAGGAGGAACACCGGUGGCGAAGGCGGAUCUCUGGGCCGUAACUGACGCUGAGGAGCGAAAGCAUGGGGAGCGAACAGG